rnacentral:tRNA from 2 species
AGCUAAUUAGCUUAUACUAAAGCAUAUAUUUUGAAAAUAUAAGAAAGAAAAAUUUAUUAGCUU